rnacentral:sRNA from 1 species
GUAUCUCUGCAUUAGCCAGAUUGGACAUAUGUAAAGGGACAUCAGUAUAUCUGGAUCAUCAGAUUGUGCUUCAAGAAGACUAUAGGGAAGAACGCAUUUUCAUCUUGCUGCAAAAGUUGCAAUAGAAGAUCUGAAGGUUUGAAUGGGCCAAUGAGUAUCCUCAUCAUUGAAGCAUUCUAUGGAGGCUCCCAUAAACAGCUGGUGGAUCUUCUUCAAGAAGAGUUAGGAGACUGUGUCGUUUAUACCCUUCCUGCAAAGAAAUGGCAUUGGAGAGCCCGGACAUCUGCUUUAUAUUUCUCUCAGACCAUUCCCAUCAGUGAGCAUUACAGGACCCUCUUUGCAAGUUCAGUGCUUAACCUGACCGAACUGGCUGCCCUUCGGCCUGACCUUGGGAAACUGAAAAAGAUUCUGUAUUUUCACGAGAACCAGUUGAUAUAUCCUGUCAAGAAAUGUCAGGAGAGGGAUUUCCAAUAUGGAUACAACCAAAUUCUUUCGUGCCUGGUGGCUGAUGUGGUUGUAUUCAACUCAGUUUUUAAUAUGGAAUCCUUUCUCACUUCCAUUGGAAAAUUUAUGAAGCUGAUUCCUGAUCACAGACCCAAGGAUCUGGAAAGCAUCAUCAGACCCAAGUGCCAAGUUAUUUACUUUCCCAUCAGGUUUCCUGAUGUGAGCAGAUUCAUGCCCAAGCACAAAACAACCCAUUUAAAGAAGAUGCUCGGCCUUAAAGGAAAUGGCGGUGCGGUUCUGUCCAUGGCCCUUCCUUUUCAGCCAGAGCAGAGAGAUUCAGAGGAUUUAUUGAAGAAUUUUAAUUCAGAGUGUGAUACACACUGUGGCCUUGAUACUGCACGACAAGAAUAUUUGGGUAACUCAUUAAGACAGGAAUCAGACUUGAAAAAGUCCACCUCGUCAGAUAAUUCAAGCUCUCAUCAUGGUGAAAAUAAACAAAAUCUGACUGUUGAUCCCUGUGACAUUUUGGGUGGAGUUGAUAAUCAGCAAAGACUUCUACACAUUGUCUGGCCUCACAGGUGGUAAGUCAAGGCAUGCCAAUUUAGUAAGAGUUGUAGAACUGGUAAAAGAAAAUAUAUUCUGUUGAUUGACAUAAUAAUUUGCUCUUCUUAUUGCUUUAGAAAAAGAUUAUUUUAAUGUGGUGGUAUUACUAAUGAUCUGCCAAGGUGGUACUACUAAAUAUCUUCACAUGAAUGGUCAUGUGCUUAGAUUAAAUUUGAAUUACAGGUAAUUAUUUGCUGCAAUUUGCUCAACUAACAGUAGUGGGUAGGCACUUCUAGCAUAUCAAGUCUUGUUCAGAAAGUUUCAAAAUAUAAGAAUCAGAUUCCAUUUUAUGCACACACACACACAGUUAUCACAAAACUAUUUCAUAUAUACACACUGAUACAGCAAUAUUACCAUUAAAGCAAGAAUAAUUUCCAUUAUUUACUACCUUGACCAGUUUCAACAGGGUGGCUUCAUUUUACUUGUCAUAAGAUGUAUAUCAGUACAUUUGAAACCAUUCCCUUCACUCAGAUGCCUCUGUAUUGUGCUAAGCAAAAUACUUUCUAGCCAAGUCUUUUCUAAACAGAGGAAAAUCAACUGCAGUAUGUGAUCUCACCAAAUAAAAACUCAAACUUAACCCUGGCUCCUAUAAAUUAGGAUUUAAAGAAGUAAAAUGUCCUGAUAAUCUUCUGGUAUUAGGCAUGAACAUUUUAAUCUAGUUUUUAUUCCUCCCAGUUAGUUUAAUCUGCAUGUGGCCUGAUUAGAGUACACUUCCCCCACAGAUUAUGGUCUCUUUAUUGCAGAGAUGCUAGGCUGAUCAUUAGGUCCGAUUUUCUGAGAGCAACCGUUUGCAGGUGAAGUAAUAAGCGCACCACACCGGCCGGGCAAAGCGCCUUUGCCGAGGAUUUGCCUUCCAGCACAUUAAAACUCUAGAAGCUCUCCCAGUUGAUCUGCAGCAUCUGGUACCUAAAGGGAUUUUCAUCUUUAAUUCUAAAUGUAUGAACGUAAAAUGUAGGGAUUGAAAGUUGAUGUGGAAUGUGUUUUUGAAUUUGUUUGUGCAACUUCAUACUUCCAGCAUAGCCUUUCUAAGGUAGUAACAGGUAUAUUUAAAUCAUAUUUUACUUCGAAUGUGACAGAGUUCAAUAUUAUUUAAUGUGAUUUUAAAAUGCAGUGGGUCUAGAUGAGAUUAACCUGUUUCAAGGUAAAAUAGAUGUCAUCAUUUACUCCCUUCUGAAAAGCUUUUUCUUUUAUUCCAUUAACCUUUGGUUGUCUCUGAAGUACUAUUUAUUGCAGGAAAAUCAGUUCUAAAAGUUGGUUCCAGGGUAUCAUGAAAAUGUUAAAUUAAAUAAUUUCUAGUCUGCUUUUACAAAACAGCAAUAUGGAGGAAAGAGUGAAAACCAUGUUAUUCAAUACUUUGCACAAAAUAAGACAGAGCUAUGUUAAUAAAAUUAACAAUAUUAAAUUGAAUA